CAAAUUUCCUCAAAACAUAAUAGACAUCUCCAUCCUCCACCUUUCAUCUCUUUCAUCCUCCGUCCUCCAUCUUCCAUACAUACAACGCUCCAACAAUUGCUAAUACCAGUCGUCAGCCAUCAUAGUGUAAUAUAUUGAGAUUAAAUAAUCCAACAACUUUGCAUUAAUGUCUCUCAUACUCUUACAGAGUAUAAGGGCUUUGAUUUUCUAUUUUUCAAACCCUAAAUUAUGAAGGGGAUGAACAAAUUAAUUGUGCGAUAUGAUGAGAAAUCAGAUACCCAGGUUUGCAUUGAUCGGAAGGGGGAAAUUUCAUCGGAUGCCCGGUUCCAAUUAAUUUUGUGGUUUUAAUCGUUGUCUCGAUCGGGUUUUAUCGAAUUCGCGGGGAUCCAAUUUCAGGAUCAAGAAGAUGGAUUGGAUUGGAUAGCAAAUGAAGAUUAAAGUUGACAUUGAGAAUCAUGCACACACGUAAGGUAAACCAGUUGAAGAUGAAAAGAUAGAAGACAUUUAGUUUUGGAUUAUACAUUUUAGUUUUGAAUAUGAUCAUUUGGUUUUAUUUCGAACAUAAUAAUGUACUCCCUCCGUCCCGGAAUACUCGACCCGGUUUGACCGGCACAGAGUUUAAGGGACUUGAAUUGACUUAUUUAAUUUAAUAGGUAGUAGUUGAUAGUGGUGUAUUAUUUUAAUGUAGUUAGUGGGAGGUGGGUUAAGAGAUGGAGUUGGGGAGAGUAGGGGUUGAAUUUUUAAUUAUUUUUUGUAUGGAAAAGGGGUAGGUGGGUUAAUAGGGGUGGAGUGAGAAAUAAUAUAAUAUUGUUAGAAUAUUUCCAUUUUCAGAAACAGGUCAAGUAUUAAGGGACGGUCCGAUAAGGAAAACAGGUCAAGUAUUCCGGGACGGAGGGAGUAAUUUUCAUAGAUCAUACAUCAAAUACAUUAAAGAGUAGUUUAUUAGUUUAACCUUCAAAAUACAAUUGCACAUUCGUGCAUGCAAUAACUAUUACAGAUUCAUAUUAUUAUUGAGGGUUGAUUCCUUCUUGUGUCU